AUUGAACGCUGGCGGCAUGCCUUACACAUGCAAGUCGAACGGCAGCACGGGUGCUUGCACCUGGUGGCGAGUGGCGCACGGGUGAGUAAUACAUCGGAACGUACCUUAUCGUGGGGGAUAACGCAGCGAAAGCUGUGCUAAUACCGCAUACGCCCUGAGGGGGAAAGCGGGGGAUCGAAAGACCUCGCGCGAUUAGAGCGGCCGAUGCCUGAUUAGCUUGUUGGUGGGGUAAAAGCCCACCAAGGCGACGAUCAGUAGCUGGUCUGAGAGGACGAUCAGCCACACUGGGACUGAGACACGGCCCAGACUCCUACGGGAGGCAGCAGUGGGGAAUCUUGGACAAUGGGGGCAACCCUGAUCCAGCAAUGCCGCGUGAGUGAAGAAGGCCUUCGGGUUGUAAAGCUCUUUUGUCAGGGAAGAAACACCGGCUCUAACACAGUCCGGGAAUGACGGUACCUGAAGAAUAAGCACCGGCUAACUACGUGCCAGCCGCCGCGGUAA
rnacentral:rRNA from 1 species